GCCGCCGUCACCGUUCAUCUAUUCUCCACCAUCUCCUCCACUGCCACACUCGCCGGCUGCCCAAUCGUCACCACCACCGUGUGCACCGCCAUCGCAACCACCCAAACCGGCCUCACCUGCACCCCGCCACCUCGCCGCUCUCGUCGACGCGUUACUCACUCUGCCUCGCCUUCCGCUACUCGCACCACCGCAGGUCACUCUGCACCGGAUCCCGUG
rnacentral:lncRNA from 1 species